AACGUAGGACGCAAGCGUUAUCCGGAAUUACUGGGCGUAAAGCGCGUGUAGGCGGAUCAUUAAGUCACUGGUGAAAGCACCGGGCUAAACUCGGUGAGGUUCGGUGAGACUGAUGGUCUGGAGUCUGUCAGAGGGGUGCGGAAUUCCGGGUGUAGUGGUGAAAUGCGUAGAGAUCCGGAGGAACACCAGAGGCGAAGGCGGCACCCUGGGACAGAACUGACGCUGAGACGCGAAAGCAUGGGUAGCGAACGGG
rnacentral:rRNA from 1 species